GUCCGUUCAACAAAUGCAAUAGUGUUUCAACUGGACGAACAACCAACGUUCGCCUAACGUCCAUCUGACGCAUGUUGCGUUACCAGUUGUAGAUCAAACUUUUACUGAAUGAAGGGGAGGGACUGAACUCCUCAGGAAGCUGGAAGGCAGAACUUUAUUUCAAUGAACCCUCCGGUGACUCUUUUACACAUUUACCUCUGUGUGUCCUGCUGACUGACAACCCCCUCAGUGGACCAGUUUGCUGAGGAUUUUUUAUUUGAUUUUUUUUAGAAAUCCCACGAUGAGCGUCGGUGGCAGCAGCAGGGAGAGGAUGCUCUGCAUGGGGUGGAAAGUUUUCAGAUAAGGUGCAACAAGCUGGUGUUUAGACAAGUCUGUUCGCGCCGUCUUCACGAGCAGAUAAUUUUGGUGUUUCGCUCUGGAAGUACUGGCCUCAGGAGAAGUUUUGCCCUCCCACUGAAGCCAAUGUGGACACGACGAUGAAUGAUCCAACGACGACGAAAAAUUCGCCAAUGAGAGACGUACCUCCGACCGUCUUUGUUCUUCUGUUCAUUUCUGGGGUGGUCGGGAAUCUCAUCGCCAUCGCAGUUUUGUGCAGAACUCGCAGAAAGAAAAGGGAGACCAUGUUUUACACGCUCGUAUAUGGCCUGGUCGUGACGGACCUCAUCGGCACGCUGCUGACCACUCCGGUCACUAUAGCCACUUACGCACAGGGACAGUGGGUCGGAGGGGACCCGCUGUGCCAGUACAUGGGCUUCGACUUGCUCUUCUUCUCCCUGACGGGACUCAGCAUCAUAUUUGCCAUGUCUGUGGACAGAUACAUCGCCGUAAACUAUCCCUACUUCUACAACAACCAUGUGAAAAAGAAGCAUGCCGGACACACCCUGGUGGCCAUCUAUAUCUCCAACGCGCUCUUCUGCGCGUUACCCGCCAUGGGCUUCGGGCAGGUGGUGAUUCAACACCCGCAAAGCUGGUGCUUCUUGGAUUGGCGAACCAAACAUACCACCCAUGCCGUCUACUGUUAUAUGUACGCCGGAGUCAGCAUUUUUCUCAUCUUCUUCACUGUCGUCUUUAACGUGCUGCUGUGCGUGGUUCUGCUCCGGAUGCACAAGCGCUUAUUGCGCAGGAUGUCGCAGGCAACCGACGCCGGGCGCAGCGUGGACUCGCGGAGGAAAUCGAUGAUCUUCGUACAUCUGGCCGACUCAGAGAUUCAGAUGGUGCUUGUGCUCGUGGCCACAACGGUGGUGGUGCUCAUCUGCUCCAUCCCACUUGUACCACUCUGAGAGAGAACAGGUCACCGAGGGUCAAAUGUUCAGGGAGGAAAUCCAGACAACACUCUCCUCAGCAACAACUUCUAGUUCACUCCAGCUGUUCCUGGGCCAGAAGUCCCUCCAGCUAACUUCAUGUCUGCCAUGUGAUGUUUCAGAAAAACCUGAUCAGAAACGCACCGGUCCCUCCUGCAACAAGAGCAUGAUCUCGCCAUCUUUGUGGUGUUCUCUGGCUGUCGACAACGACUUCAGCCAACAGCUUUACAAGAUCUUUUGCUUUUGUUCCGGAGUUUCUAAGGAAAUUUCACACCAAAGUACAUGUGUCACAGAGUCUCCUUUCUGAAUUUCAUGAUGGUUUUUCAACAGAUCAACCUAACAUCUUCAGAUAAAAGCCAAAAAUGGAAAGUCAAAAAUGUCAACAUUAAGUACAUGCAAAUAUAGAUUUUAAGGCUGUUUUAGGUAUUUCUUUGUCUGUAGUAAUAGUUUGUGUUUAUCAUCCCUGUAUUUAUUUUUUAUGCUUUAACAUCAACCUGGCAAUGGGACUAGCGGUAGAAAUGAAAUACCUGGCAGUAA